CUCCCUGUAGCUCAGUUGGUAGAGCAUGGUGUUUGCAAAGCCAGAGUUGUGGGUUCGAUUCCCACGGGGGGC
rnacentral:tRNA from 1 species